AAGAUUUUAAGUUAAGUAAACUUUUAACCUUCAAAGUUAAAUAUAAAGAUAGUCUUUAAGUCUUA
rnacentral:tRNA from 2 species